GAUGAACGCUGGCGGCGUGCCUAAUACAUGCAAGUCGAGCGAACGGACGAGAAGCUUGCUUCUCUGAUGUUAGCGGCGGACGGGUGAGUAACACGUGGAUAACCUACCUAUAAGACUGGGAUAACUUCGGGAAACCGGAGCUAAUACCGGAUGAUAUUUUGAACCGCAUGGUUCAAAAGUGAAAGACGGUCUUGCUGUCACUUAUAGAUGGAUCCGCGCUGCAUUAGCUAGUUGGUAAGGUAACGGCUUACCAAGGCAACGAUGCAUAGCCGACCUGAGAGGGGGGUCGGCCAAACUGGAACUGGGACACGGGCCAGACUACUACGGGAGGCGGCAGUAGGGAAUCUUACGCAAUGGGCGAAAGCCUGACGGAGCAACGCCGCGUGAGUGAUGAAGGUCUUCGGAUCGUAAAAAUCUGUUAUUAGGGAAGAACAUAUGUGUAAGUAACUGUGCACAUCUUGACGGUACCUAAUCAGAAAGCCACGGCUAACUACGUG
rnacentral:rRNA from 1 species